rnacentral:rRNA from 1 species
UUUUAAAUUUAGAGUUUGAUCCUGGCUCAGGACGAACGCUGGCGGCGUGCUUAACACAUGCAAGUCGAGCGAUGAAACUUCCUUCGGGAAGUGGAUUAGCGGCGGACGGGUGAGUAACACGUGGGUAACCUGCCUCAAAGUGGGGGAUAGCCUUCCGAAAGGAAGAUUAAUACCGCAUAAUAUAAGAGAAUCGCAUGAUUUUCUUAUCAAAGAUUUAUUGCUUUGAGAUGGACCCGCGGCGCAUUAGCUAGUUGGUAAGGUAACGGC